rnacentral:lncRNA from 1 species
GGCCGUUCGGUGACUGCGCUCUCUGCGCGCGGCUUCUCCGAUGCUGCAAAAUUAGCGGAAGGUCGUUUAGCGCAAACAGGGCGCUGGACGUCUGAUUGCAGCUGCGGAGUUGAGUCGAGGAACAGUCUUAUGGCAGCUAAGUGAGGGAUGUGAACCAUCAGACAGACGAGCUAUGCGCUGAGAAUCCUGCGUCUGUGCCUAAAGCUCUUCGUCUGCUGUUGAUGCAUUUCUCUUUCCAUUGAGCUGUACGUCUCUUUGGAGGGCAAGUACCUCGACCAAGGGCAUGACAGCAGGUGCAGGACCUCGACCCACGGAAUUUCAGAUUGCAAGGUGCCAGCUCUAAGCGCUGUGCCCCCUGCUGUUUGUACUUCCUCCAUAUGUAUCCUGUCUAUUCAAUGUGACUCCUAGUGCUGAAGCCCGGAAACCCAGCAGUUAUAUUUAAAAACUGUGUUUUAUUGAAU